GAUGAACGCUGGCGGCGUGCCUAAUACAUGCAAGUCGAGCGGCAGCGAGUUUUGCACUUUUUACUUGAAUACCAAAUUACGUUUGGUUAAAGUUCGAGUAAGAGGUGCAAAAUGUCGGCGAGCGGCGGACGGGUGAGUAACACGUAGGAAUGUACCCCAAGGUGAGGGAUAAGCUCCAGAAAUGGAGUCUAAUACCGCAUACGGUCUUCGGAUUAAAGUCUUCGGACGCCAUGGGAACAGCCUGCGUAUGAUUAGCUAGUUGGUGAGGUAAAGGCUCACCAAGGCGACGAUCAUUAGCUGUUCUGAGAGGAUGAUCAGCCACACUGGAACUGAGACACGGUCCAGACUCCUACGGGAGGCAGCAGUAAGGAAUCUUCCACAAUGGACGAAAGUCUGAUGGAGCAACGCCGCGUGCAGGAUGAAGGCUUUCGGGUCGUAAACUGCUUUUA
rnacentral:rRNA from 1 species